CGCGUAGGAACGUACCCCAAAGUGAGGGAUAAGCACCGGAAACGGUGUUUAAUACCGCAUAUGGUCUUCGGAUUAAAGCAGCAAUGCGCUAUGGGAACGGCAUGCGUCGGAUUAGCUAGUUGGUGAGGUAAUGGCUCACCAAGGCGACGAUCCGUAGGUGGUCUGAGAGGAUGAUCAGCCAGACAGGAACUGAGACACGGUCCAGACUCUUACGGGAGGCAGCAGUUAGGAAUUUUCCACAAUGGGGGCAACCCUGAUGGAGCAACACCGCGUGCUGGAUGAAGGCCUUCGGGUCGUAAACAGCUUUUGUAUACGAAGAAUAUGACGGUAAUAUACGAAUAAGGGUCGGCUAAUUACGUG
rnacentral:rRNA from 1 species